rnacentral:lncRNA from 1 species
AUUACAACUGUGAUCACAGCUUGGAUAGAAUGUGGAGUUGUCUGCUUUCUUUUCCUGUGUGUUUUUUUUUCCCUAAAUUCCCUCCUUUCUCUUAUCAAGUCCUUUUUUUUUUUUUUUUCGGUCUAACCACCCUUAAAGAAAACAUUUCUCCAAAGGACUGGGUGGAGUUUUGAAGAUGGCAUUCAGAGCUGGCAGAUCUCUUGCCAGUGUUAAGAUGUUAAUGUUCACUUACUGACCAUUCUCCCAGCUUGACUCUCAGUAGGGCAAGUGGGAGGAGAGAUUGCUCUGCUAGUCUAGAACAGGAAGAGGCGGAGAAUUAUCCUUUUAAUUAUUACUUCCCUGCUCAUACUUAGUAGCUCUUGGAAGGACUGCAAGUGUGAGGUCUAGUUGAGCCCCUACACUUUUUCAUUUGAUGGUUAACAAGUAGUGUCUGACAUAAUUGGUUCAUGAGCAAUCAAGUGCAUUGACCUAUUACUGCUCGUUAUUUUCAGUUAUAAAUGCUGUCUAUUUUGCUGGUAGAAUUUAGAGUUCAGGAUGCAUAGGAUGACCUGGUUUGUAUCACAUGAGUCUUUGGGACUCUGACAGAUUUCACCAUUUAAUAAAACACCCAGCUUCCUUCUACCUUACUGGACAUAAAAGCAACCUUUGAAUUUAUGACACACAGAGCGUACUUUGAAAGGGCACAAUGCACAAAAAAAGGAGGAAAAGGAAGUAAGGCAGUCCAUCUCCUCUUCUGAGGCCAUUAUAUUCAGACAAGUGACAAACCUGAAUACCUUGGAAAAUCUUGUAUUGAUUUUUAGUGCAGAAGCAUCUCCCUAGGAUCUGAAAAACCCUUGUGAAGGAUAAUAAACCUGUACCCUGCCUCCAAGUCAGAGUUGACUUCCUUAGUUUACAUGGCUGGAAGAAAUAAAUAUAGCUGCUCUACUGAGAGUAAGACUUUGUCAGGCCGUAGUUCUGUGAAAUAAAUUAUAUAACAGCAAAGCUUUAUGGAAACCAUACCAGGGAUUGGUUAUUACUGGUGAGUGGGGAGAUAGUUAGCAAUAUUGGAAGAGUUUGAUCAAGUUUUUAUUUUAAUAUCAUUAUUCCUAGAGUGUCAAGAUGUUUCUUUAGGGAUCAAAAGAUAUUUGAUUAAAAAUAAAUAAAGAAAAGCCAAACUUAGUGGUUUCUUGUUGAAGUUUCUAGCAAUUCUUGCUAUGAACUAUCUCUUAAAGUGGCUACUUUUGUGUUUGCUUCUGAGAUCUUCAAACAUUUUAAUAAUUACUUUUCAUUUAAUCUCUCUCUCUUUCUCUCUGUGUGUGUGUGUAUGUGUGUGUGUGAGAGAGAGAGACAGAGAGACAGAGACAGAGACAGAGACAGAGACACAGAGAGAGAGAUACAGAGAAAGCUGGAUCUUACUGUAUAGCCAAGGCUGAAUUCAAGUCAUCCUCCUUCUGCCUCAUCCAGUACUGGGAUUCUAAGCAUCUACUGGCAUGCCUGACUGUCUAGGUUCUAAGUCAAAGAUUCAACAGCUGGAGGGUACAAUAUAUCAUUCAGUACAGCCUUCCCAUUUUAGAGGAUAGUCAGACCUCAGGGAUAUAGUGGCAUGUCCAAGGGUAGGAAACACAGCAGUGGCCUAUUCUUCAUCUGACAAUUUUCCACAGUUUGAAACCAGGGUGCCUUUUACUAAUGAUAGAAAAAUCCAGAUUUGACAUAAAAAUUUAGGAUGAUUUUUGAUCAUUUCAUUGAACAAAAAAAUGUGAUUUAGAGCCAGAAUUCCUUUCAGAUAUUGUCAAAUCCAAAUUCCAUAUUUAAGCAUUGGCUCCUAUUGCUAUUUCUAAAUGUAAAAGAGGUUACUUAUAUUUUGAUUUCUAUGAUCCAGGAGAUUUCUCUCUUGACCUUUCUUCCAUUGACUCUGUGACAUGCCAUGGUUGAAACCAGGUCCUUUGUGGGUGGCUGUUAUUAAAAAGCUUUCCUUGGAAUGUUUACAGUAACUGCCGUGACCUAAAUAGGAAGGCUUGCCUUGUUUUCCUGCAUAAAAGCAAGAAGAGUUUCUAAAAGUAUGUUCAUCUCUUUUGAUACCCUUAUAUUUACUGGUGACUAAGAAACAAAAACAUUACUUUUUUCUUAUUUAUGUGUUAGGUGAAUACACACUAUCUCGACACAAUUUACACAUUUGGGGCUUUUGUGCCCUAAACCAUGUUUUCUUGGAAUAGAGCUUCGUAACAGUUCCACCAAGUGGGCAUUAUAAAUGAAUACCUCUUUUAAAUUUCAUUUUAGUUUUAAUUGAGAUAAAAUACAGCUUAAAUUUUGCUAUCUUAAGUGUGUGAAGUUUGGUAGCAUUGUAUGUGUAACCAAUAUAUGUAGCUUUCUUAUGCAAAUUUGAAACUAUGUUCAUUAAACAACUUCUCAUUUCUGCUUCCCUACUCUCUGGCAACAACCACUCUAAUUUCCACUUUUAUGAAUUAUCUACCUGAAUUAGCUAACUCAUGGGAGUAGAACCAUAUAGUGUUGGCUGUUUAGAGACUGGCUGGUUUUACUAAUUGUAAUAUCCUUGAACGUCAUCCCUUUGUAACAUGUGUCAAGAACUCUAUCCUUUGGAGGGCUCAAUAAAAAUUCAUUGACCAUCUUUUAUUAUCUCAUCUGUGAGUAUACAUUUAAUUAAAGUCCACUUUUUGGUCAUUAUGAACAAUACUGCUAUUAAAAUGCGUGUAUAACUCAGCUUAGUGGUACACACUUUUGAUUCCACUAGGGUGGCAGAGGCAUUUUGUGAGUUCUGGGCUACAAAAGCAAGUUCCAGGUCAGUCAGAGCUAUACAGUGAGAUUUUGUCUUUAACAACAGCAAAAAAAAAAAGCUACUUUGAUUUUUAUACAUACAUGCAUGUAAAUAAACACACAUACAGGUAACAGCUUAAGGGGCAGUCCCCACUCCAGUAGUUUUAGGACCCACAUGAAGACUGAGCUGCACAUCUGCUACAUAUGUGUGGGGGGCCUAAGUCCAGCCCAUGUAUGCUUUUUGGUUGGUGGUUCAAGGGGUCUGGGGGUGGGACUGUGUGAGGGGAGGAUCAAGAGGAACAAGGGCAGCAAUUGGAAUGCGAAAGAAAG